AACGAACGUUGGCGGCGCGCUUAACACAUGCAAGUCGAACGCGAAAGGUCUUCGGACCGAGUAGAGUGGCGCACGGGUGAGUAACACGUGAGUAACCUGCCCUUUGGUCUGGGAUAACAAGCCGAAAGGCUUGCUAAUACCGGAUAAGACCACGGUGUCUUCGGACGCAGUGGGAAAAGUUGGGGACCGGAGACGGCCUGACGCAGAAGGAUGGGCUCGCGGCCUAUCAGCUUGUUGGUGAGGUAAUGGCUCACCAAGGCUUAGACGGGUAGCUGGUCUGAGAGGAUGAUCAGUCACACUGGAACUGAGACACGGUCCAGACUCCUACGGGAGGCAGCAGUGGGGAAUUUUGCGCAAUGGGCGAAAGCCUGACGCAGCGACGCCGCGUGUGCGAUGAAGGCCCUUGGGUCGUAAAGCACUGUCAAGCGGGAAGAACGGUCUUCGGUUAAUACCCGGAGGCUCUGACGGUACCGCUGGAGGAAGCACCGGCUAACUCUGUGCCAGCAGCCGCGGUAAUACAGAGGGUGCAAACGUUGUUCGGAAUUACUGGGCGUAAAGAGCUUGUAGGCGGCAUGUUAAGUCGACUGUGAAAGCCCAUGGCUCAACCAUGGAAGUGCAGCCGAUACUGGCACGCUAGAGUCCCGGAGAGGGUGGUGGAAUUCCCAGUGUAGAGGUGAAAUUCGUAGAUAUUGGGAGGAACACCAGUGGCGAAGGCGACCACCUGGACGGGUACUGACGCUGAGAAGCGAAAGCGUGGGGAGCAAACAGGAUUAGAUACCCUGGUAGUCCACGCCGUANACGAUGAGCACUAGGUGUUGCGGGUAUUGACCCCUGCAGUGCCGACGCUAACGCAUUAAGUGCUCCG
rnacentral:rRNA from 1 species